AGAAUCAACGCUGGCGGCGUGCCUAACACAUGCAAGUCGAACGAGAAAGUGGUAGCAAUACCAUGAGUAAAGUGGCGCACGGGUGAGUAACACGUGACUAACCUACCCUGGAGUGGGGGAUAACUGAGGGAAACCUUAGCUAAUACCGCAUAACACCUACGGGUCAAAGGAGCAAUUCGCUUCAGGAGGGGGUCGCGGCAGAUUAGCUAGUUGGCGGGGUAAUGGCCCACCAAGGCAGUGAUCUGUAUCCGGCCUGAGAGGGCGCACGGACACACUGGAACUGAAACACGGUCCAGACUCCUACGGGAGGCAGCAGUGGGGAAUUUUGCGCAAUGGGGGAAACCCUGACGCAGCAACGCCGCGUGGAGGAUGAAGUCCCUCGGGACGUAAACUCCUUUCGAUCGGGACGAUAAUGACGGUACCGAGAGAAGAAGCCCCGGCUAACUUCGCGCCAGCAGCCGC
rnacentral:rRNA from 1 species